rfam:[Clostridium] hungatei strain DSM 14427 CLHTN_contig000002, whole genome shotgun sequence.
UGGGUAGUAUUCCAAAAGUCAAAUACAGUCAUUUCCCAAUGAUUGAUUGACAUGAAACUACAUCAGGAGAAUUUUAUUUUAUUUUUGAAAGGCGGCUCAUAUCCAAUAUGGAAUGGGACCGGAAG